rnacentral:lncRNA from 1 species
CCCUCUCACCUGGCUGGCGGCAGGGCGGGGCUCGAGCCCGGGACUGCCAGGUGCGCGCCGGGAAUGGGCGGCGGCAGGCGCGCGGGGCACAGGUUCCUGAGGGGGCGCAGCUUUUCCUGGAAGGCAGGCAGCCUGAGAAGGGCUUCGUUUUUGCGCAGUAGGACGUUGAAGAAAGGACAAGCCCCCUUUGUCCUGGACGUAAGCCGCAAGUCGUCCUGAGUGGUGCACACCGCGAAGACUGAGGAAACUGGAUCACAGGGCUGGGCCGUGAGCCUUGAACCUCGGAGAACGUCGCAUUACUGCUCCAGCGCGCCGGUUCAGGGCCGCGGGACGCGAGCCCUUUAAAAGGAUGGAUUUGCUUCCUGUGACUCCCUGGAAGAGACGUCUUCACCACCGCACUGCGUAGAGGCCGGCGUCGUCGCCGGCUCACCCCGCUUGCUGCCUCCCCGCACAAAGCCCAGCCCAGGUAGCUCAGGUUAGCUGGAGCCCCGGAGCCUCACCUACAAGUACCUGGCCUGUCCUAGGUUGUGUGGGGACGGGAUGUGGCUUCUGCAAGCCCAGAAACCUGUUUCCACUCCCCCACCACAAAUGGAACUCACCCAGCUCUACUCGCAAGGUUAGGAGCCAAAAAUUCCCAUGAUCGCACGCGAAUUCAUUUGACUUCCGUUUCAGUUAAGAUGCCUUUUCAGCAUUUUGUUGCUUGUUUGCAGAAGGGAGAGAGGUAGGAUCAAGAAUAGUUUUUACUCCUGCAGAGUCGAGUGCGAGACUUGGAGGCUGAGUCCAGGCGCUCUCCCCUCCCCGCCAGUCCCGUGUCCUGGAGCAGGUCACUGACCUGGUUCCUCGAGUGCGACAGCGCAGCCUCAUCGUAAUAAACCGCCUCCCAAAGCGUUGUCAGAUCAAAUUCCAGAACAUGUUACUGGAAAGCACCUUGAACACUCUAAACUGCAGCACAGUUAUUAGUUAGCAAUACUCUUUGGGGUUUCACUGGCACCUUUUCUAACAAAUAAGAUUGAUAGAUGCCUGCUCAAACAAAUUGAAGUGCUUGUCUCAGAUGACACACUUGGCAGGCAUGGGACGUUCACAGGCCAACUAGAGAGCUAAUUUCAAAACUGAGAUAUAAAAGUGUAUCGCUGUACUUACAAGUUACCAAGUGUUGAGAAAUUACUCACUUUCAUUUGUGUGUUUAAUGUCUUUUUUGUUUUUUUAGACGGAGUCUCACUCUGUUCCCCAGGCUGCAGUGCAGUGGCAUGAUCUCGGCCCACUGCAACCUCCGCUUCCUGGGUUCAAGCAAUCCUCACAUUUCAGCCUCCCGAGUAGCUGGGAUUACAGGCGCGCACCACCAUGUCCAGCUAAUUUUUAAAAAUAUUUUUAGUAGAGACGGGGUUUCGCC